GAUGAACGCUGGCGGCGUGCCUAAUACAUGCAAGUCGAGCGAACGGACGAGAAGCUUGCUUCUCUGAUGUUAGCGGCGGACGGGUGAGUAACACGUGGAUAACCUACCUAUAAGACUGGGAUAACUUCGGGAAACCGGAGCUAAUACCGGAUGAUAUUUUGAACCGCAUGGUUCAAAAGUGAAAGACGGUCUUGCUGUCACUUAUAGAUGGAUCCGCGGUGCAUUAGCUAGUUGGUAAGGUAACGGCUUACCAAGGCAACGAUGCAUAGCCGACCUGAGAGGGUGAUCGGCCACACUGGAACUGAGACACGGUCCAGACUCCUACGGGAGGCAGCAGUAGGGAAUCUUCCGCAAUGGGCGAAAGCCUGACGGAGCAACGCCGCGUGAGUGAUGAAGGUCUUCGGAUCGUAAAACUCUGUUAUUAGGGAAGAACAUAUGUGUAAGUAACUGUGCACAUCUUGACGGUACCUAAUCAGAAAGCCACGGCUAACUACGUG
rnacentral:rRNA from 1 species